UUCAAAGAAGGGUUCAAUAACCUGCCCAGGUGAUAAGCUGCAGAGGCACUGGCAUAAUAUUAUAACGACUAGACAGUCAUUGCUGGAAGAUACUGCAUCCAGAAGUAAUUGGUCUGGACAUGUGAGUGGCCAAGGACCGUCACAAGGAGACAGAACUUCAUCAACUUCAUCAGUGACUGUCUGAGAUUUGGGGGGACAUGAUGAUUUCCUGGGUCGUGUUCGGCCCCCAGAUCCUGAGGUCUUGUAGCCUAGCCGUACACAAUCAGGAACAGAUUUCCAAAGGCAUAUUCUGUGAGGGGUGUUGCUUACAAACUCCAACCGCUAGGAUCCUCACCACGAAGACCAGUUGGAAUUCACUAUGGCCAGGUUGUUAUUCAUUUAAAAGUAUCUGCA
rnacentral:lncRNA from 10 species